rnacentral:lncRNA from 1 species
CCCCUAAAGAGCUUGUCCACCGUGAGAGACAACUGCUCAUAGCUAUCAUGCGCACUGAGAUCUACUUUACGACCAAUGGGAACACCGUACAUGUUGAUCUUCACGAACAAGCCUCCUUGCCUCUUUGGUUCCUUUGUCUUCUCUCGGCCGUUAUCAUCAUCACACUUUUGGUUUUUUAGGACGGAGGUGGACUCGUUUCCAAGCUUUGAAGAGCUUCCAUUAGCUAAAUUCUUCCUGAAGGAUCGAACGGGAGGCCAACCCACCACUGGACCAGGAGCAUUUCUUUAACACAAGACAUCAAAGAAAGUAAGAAACAUGUUCCAAAACAGAGCCAGUACUAUGAAGAGUCUGAAAAAAAAUGAAACUAAGGCAGCAAAACGACAAAAACAGAUAAUACAAAAGUAUGAUGAUCUUAAGCAGACAUGAAAUAAACUUGAUAAUCAAACUUGCACAUGUGUGAAGUAAAAACUUUGAGAUCUAAUCUUAAGCAGACAUGAAAAAAUAGUUUUUGAUUGGUUAACUUCAAGUAAAUGUCAUCAUGUCAAAAGGAUACAAAACAGAUAAAAACAAAAAUAAGAGACGUAAAAUCAAAAGGGCGAGGUAAAAAGUAAAAAUGGUUUUAAACCUUUUCUGAGAUGUGGGUUUGUUGGUGGUGAUGGAAGGAGAGAAGUGGUGGUUGCCAGCGAGAGAGAGGAUAGAUUUGUCUUUUUGUUCUUUCUUGAUGCGUCGUAUCAACGAUGAACCAUAUUCGUCUUCAUCUUCACCAGGUGGUCCAAGCUUUAGCUCAAGAUUCUUCUCUUCCGUGUUGUAAACAGAGGCUUUCUCAUGGUGAAACCAAUUUCUUCUCCCUUGUGGAAUCAAAUGGAGCAGCUUUGGUGAUAUUUCACCGUUUCUUGAAGAACCCUCCAUUAGUUUUUUUACAGAAACUUGCGUUCUUUGACCAAAAGAAAGAAAGAGAGUUCGACAAGCAAAUAGUUGUCUACAACUUGUUCACGCAAAAAGAACAAAAGAUUUGUUUAAAACCCAUCAGAACCCAUAACUUGAAAAUCGUCAAAAUGAAAACUUUUCUUGUCUUUAUUCUGGUCAGAGCAAAGAGAAAACCUCAGCAACUCACAAAACCCUUAAAAACAGAGGAGAGAGAAAGAGAGAGGAGGUGAAAUGAUGUGAGAAGCUAGAGAGGUGGAGUAGUGGGUCUUUUUAUACAAAUCAAAGCUUUGGUUUUGUAAAUAAAAAAAAAUGUAAACUUUUUGGUGGGUUCUUCCCUUCCCUUUACUUCACUUUAUUCUCUCUCUCUCUCUUUCUAGAUUCUCAAAAGGGAGGAGAUUUUUGGGAAUACGGCGAAAAGGGAGAACAGAGGCAAAGUCAGAAGGAGAGACAGUGAUUAAACCAGAGGAAAAGCAAAAGGGAUCAAAACCACAACGUUAAUAAAACAAGAGACCAAGAAAAAAAAAACAGUAAAUAUAUUACUAUUAAAAGGAAUUUAUUGGUGUGAAACACACGCAAUCUUCUUCUCUCUUUCUUAUAGCCGUAGGGUGGUUAACUGCUCAUAGCUAUUAUGCGCACUGAGGUCUACUUUACGACCAAUGGGAACACCGUACAUGUUGAUCUUCACGAACAAGCCUCCUUGCCUCUUUGGUUCCUUUAUCUUCUCUCGGCCGUUAUCAUCAUCACACUUUUGGUUUUUUAGGACGGAGGUGGACUCGUUUCCAAGCUUUGAAGAGCUUCCAUUAGCUAAAUUCUUCCUGAAGGAUCGAACGGGAGGCCAACCCACCACUGGACCAGGAGCAUUUCUUUAACACAAGACAUCAAAGAAAGUAAGAAACAUGUUCCAAAACAGAGCCAGUACUAUGAAGAGUCUGAAAAAAAAUGAAACUAAGGCAGCAAAACGACAAAAACAGAUAAUACAAAAGUAUGAUGAUCUUAAGCAGACAUGAAAUAAACUUGAUAAUCAAACUUGCACAUGUGUGAAGUAAAAACUUUGAGAUCUAAUCUUAAGCAGACAUGAAAAAAUAGUUUUUGAUUGGUUAACUUCAAGUAAAUGUCAUCAUGUCAAAAGGAUACAAAACAGAUAAAAACAAAAAUAAGAGACGUAAAAUCAAAAGGGC